UAUAUAUUUUUUAUAUCAAAAAUUUUGAUAUAGUAGUCAAAGAUUAGAUCUUAUACAUAUGAUUAAAAUUAAAUUAUUUAAUUUAUUAUUUUUAUCGCAUAAAAUUUUUUAAUUGCAUGUACUGUACUAUCGUAAAUUUUCUUCAGGACCAAGAGAAUAUGCAGUCAAACCCAGUAGCCUUGCUGCGAAUAGCCAAUAGUCUCACAGAUCAAAAGACCACUCACACCACUAU
rnacentral:lncRNA from 1 species